rnacentral:rRNA from 1 species
UUCCGGUUGAUCCUGCCGGACCCGACUGCUAUUUGGGUGAGGAUAAGCCAUGCGAGUUGAAUGGGAUACCUAAAGUUCCCAUGGCAAACUGCUCAGUAACACAUGAUCAACUUGCCCUAUAGAGAAAAAUAACCUCGGGAAACUGAGGAUAAUGUUUCAUAGCUGAAUUGGCUUGGAAAAGUUUUUCAGUUAAAGGGAUAAAAAAAAUGGUUUUUAUCCGCUAUAGGAUAGGAUCGUGGUCGAUUAUGGUUGUUGGUGAGGUAAUGGCUCACCAAGCCGAUAAUCGAUAGGGGCCGUGGGAGCGGGAGCCCCGAGAUGGGUACUGAGACAACGACCCAGGCCUUACGAGGCGCAGCAGGCGCGAAACCUCCGCAAUACACGAAAGUGUGACGGGGUUACCCAAAGUGUUCAAUUUUGAACUGUGGUAGGUGAGUAAUGUUCCCUACUAGAAAGGAGAGGGCAAGGCUGGUGCCAGCCGCCGCGGUAAAACCAGCUCUUCAAGUGGUCGGGAUAAUUAUUGGGCUUAAAGUGUCCGUAGCCGGUUUAGUAAGUUCCUGGUAAAAUCGGGUAGCUUAACUAUCUAUAUGCUAGGAAUACUACUAUACUAGAGGGCGGGAGAGGUCUGAGGUACUACAGGGGUAGGGGUGAAAUCUUAUAAUCCUUGUAGGACCACCAGUGGCGAAGGCGUCAGACUGGAACGCGCCUGACGGUGAGGGACGAAAGCCAGGGGAGCGAACCGGAUUAGAUACCCGGGUAGUCCUGGCCGUAAACGAUGCAUACUAGGUGAUGGCACGGCCAUGAGCCAUGUCAGUGCCGUAGGGAAACCGUUAAGUGUGCCGCCUGGGAAGUACGGUCGCAAGGCUAAAACUUAAAG